GAUGAAGAACGCAGCGAAAUGCGAUAAGUAAUGUGAAUUGCGGAAUUCAGUAAAUCAUCGAAUCUUUGAACGCACAUUGCGCCCCCUGGUAUUCCGGGGGGCAUGCCUGUUCGAGCGUCAUUUCACCACUCAAGCCUCGCUUGGUAUUGGGCAACGCGGUCCGCCGCGUGCCUCAAAUCGACCGGCUGGGUCUUCUGUCCCCUAAGCGUUGUGGAAACUAUUCGCUAAAGGGUGUUCGGGAGGCUACGCCGUAAAACAACCCCAUUUCUAAGGUUGACCUCGGAUCAGGUAGGGAUACCCGCUGAACUUAAGCAUAUCAAUAAGCGGAGGA
rnacentral:misc_RNA from 1 species